AUACUUACCCUGGCAGGGCAGCUACCAUGAUCAUGAAGGUGGUUUUCCCAGGGUGAAGCUUAUCCAUUGCACUCUAAUGUGAUGACUCCUGUGAUUUCCCCAAAUGUGGGAAACUUGACUGCAUAAUUUGUGGUAGCGGGGGACUGCAUUCACACUCUCCUUGA